rnacentral:rRNA from 1 species
GAAUCUUAGACAAUUGGGGAAACCCUGAUCUAGCCAUGCCGCGUGCUCGAUGAAGGCCUUACGGUUGUAAAGAUCUUUCAGCUGGGCAGAUACUGACGGUACCAGCAGAAGUAGCCCCGGCUAAUUCCGUCACAGCAGCCGCGGUACUACGGAGGGGGCUAGCGUUAUUCGGAUUUCCUGGGUGUAAAGCGCACGUAGGCGGAGCAGAAAGUUAGGGGUGAAAUCCCGGGGCGACACCUCGGAACUGCCUCUAAAACUCCUGGUCUUGAGGUCGAGAGAGGUGAGUUGAAUUCCGACUGUAUAGGUGAAAUUCGGAGAUAUUCGGAGGAACACCAGUGGCGAAGGCGGCUCACUGGCUCGAUACUGACGCUGAGGUGCGAAAGCGUGGGGAGCAAACA